rnacentral:lncRNA from 10 species
AGAAUAUUUGCAUCAGUUUUUUCCUUUAAUUUGAAAUACUAGAGUAGCUGUUCUUAUUGCUUCCUUUAAAAACUACGAUUGAAGUACACAAACAGUAUCAAAUGUUCUACUUUGGGCAAAACUAGACUUUACUGUAUCAGAAAACUGGAAAUCCAGGCCGGGUGUGGUGGCUCACGCCUGUAAUUCCAGCUACUAGGGAGGCUGAGGCAGGAGAAUCACUUGAACCUGGGAGGCGGAGGUCGCAGUGAGCUGACAUCGCACCUCUGCACUCCAGCCCAGGCAACAGAGUGAGACUCCAUCUUAAAAAAAAAAAAAAAAAAAAAAACCCACUGGAAAUCCAUUAUAUUCCAGUAUUCAGCCACCAUAUCCUGCUUCUAGUCUAACACUGUAUGUAUGAUAGUUCAUGUGUAUUUGACUUACAUGUUUGACCAUUUGACCAUGUUUAACAAAUCUCUUGCUACACUGCAAUGUCUAUUCUCCCCGUUUGUGUUCACUCAAAGCCAAAGAAAUGGUGGUGGGGAAGAAGCAAGCACUUUGGAAUCCAGACAGACCUGAGUUUGAAUCCUGACUCAGCUACUAUUUAUUUGCUAUCACUUUGCUCAAAUUAUUUGACCUUUUGAGC